UACGGAAGGCAGCAGUGGGGAAGUAUUGCACAAUGGGCGCAAGCCUGAUGCAGCCAUGCCGCGUGUAUGAAGAAGGCCUUCGGGUUGUAAAGUACUUUCAGUCGUGAGGAAGGUGUUAAGGUUAAUAACCUUAGCAAUUGACGUUAGCGACAGAAGAAGCACCGGCUAACUCCGUGCCAGCAGCCGCGGUAAUACGGAGGGUGCGAGCGUUAAUCGGAAUUACUGGGCGUAAAGGGCACGCAGGCGGUUAAUUAAGUUGGAUGUGAAAUCCCCGGGCUUAACCUGGGAAUGGCAUUCAAGACUGGUUAGCUAGAGUCUUGUAGAGGGGGUAGAAUUCCAUGUGUAGCGGUGAAAUGCGUAGAGAUGUGGAGGAAUACCGGUGGCGAAGGCGGCCCCUGGACAAAGACUGACGCUCAUGUGCGAAAGCU
rnacentral:rRNA from 1 species